GCUAUACUGCAGUCGAGCGGAUGACGGGGAGCUUGCUCCCCUGAUUCAGCGGCGGACGGGUGAGUAACACGUGGGCAACCUGCCUGUAAGAUCGGGAUAACUCCGGGAAACCGGGGCUAAUACCGGAUGGUUCCUUCCUCCGCAUGGAGGAAGGCGGAAAGACGGUUUCGGCUGUCACUUACAGAUGGGCCCGCGGCGCAUUAGCUAGUUGGUGGGGUAACGGCCCACCAAGGCAACGAUGCGUAGCCGACCUGAGAGGGUGAUCGGCCACACUGGGACUGAGACACGGCCCAGACUCCUACGGGAGGCAGCAGUAGGGAAUCUUCCGCAAUGGACGAAAGUCUGACGGAGCAACGCCGCGUGAGCGAAGAAGGCCUUCGGGUCGUAAAGCUCUGUUGUAAGGGAAGAACAAGCGCCGGUUACUGCCGGCGCCCUGACGGUACCUUACCAGAAAGCCACGGCUAACUACGUGCCAGCAGCCGCGGUAAUACGUAGGUGGCAAGCGUUGUCCGGAAUCAUUGGGCGUAAAGCGCGCGCAGGCGGUUUCUUAAGUCUGAUGUGAAAGCCCACGGCUCAACCGUGGAGGGUCAUUGGAAACUGGGAGACUUGAGUGCAGAAGAGGAAAGCGGAAUUCCACGUGUAGCGGUGAAAUGCGUAGAGAUGUGGAGGAACACCAGUGGCGAAGGCGGCUUUCUGGUCUGUAACUGACGCUGAGGCGCGAAAGCGUGGGG
rnacentral:rRNA from 1 species